UCGUGUUUUGAAAACGCGGGUCGCGAUACAACGGAUUCGACAAGACCCUAUAAUGAUACUAAUCCCUUGAUUUUAGACGCUUGGAACAAGACUAGUAUCCUCAUGCCCUCCUCCCACCACCAAGUUCUUAUAGGCCAAUGACUGCCCCUAAAAGUUACGAGUACGUCACUAGGGGCCGGUUCAUAGAAAGCAGGUUAGCGUUAACUUGCCUUCUAGGAGGCCAGCCCUUUUGAAGUACAGACCUCAGUUUUAUAGUAUCACCUUAACAGCGUCUUUGUUAUCACAGAUUCAUGUAUUGCAUUCUCGCUACACACUUACUGUAUUCUCAGCACUAAAUGUCGCGUCGCAUUAUUUUAUAGCUAAUAAAUUACUAUUCUAUGCA